CCCAACCUACGGGACGCAGCAGUGGGGAAUAUUGGGCAAUGGGCGCAAGCCUGACCCAGCAACGCUGCGUGAAGGAAGAAGGCUUUCGGGUUGUAAACUUCUUUUAUGAGGGACGAAACAAAUGACGGUACCUCAUGAAUAAGCCACGGCUAACUACGUGCCAGCAGCCGCGGUAAUACGUAGGUGGCAAGCGUUAUCCGGAUUUACUGGGUGUAAAGGGCGUGUAGGCGG
rnacentral:rRNA from 1 species